UACGUAGGGUGCAAGCGUUAAUCGGAAUUACUGGGCGUAAAGCGUGCGCAGGCGGUUGUGCAAGACAGAUGUGAAAUCCCCGGGCUCAACCUGGGAACCUGCAUUUGGUGACUGCACAGCUAGAGUACGGUAGAGGGGGAUGGAAUUCCGGCGUGUAGCAGUGAAAUGCGUAGAUAAUGCGGAGGAACACCGAUGGCGGAAGGCAAUCCCGUGGACCUGUCACUGACGCUGAGGAGCGAAAGCGUGGGGAGC
rnacentral:rRNA from 1 species